UCCUGACCUCGGAUCAGACGUGAUUACCCGCUGAACUUAAGCAUAUCACUAAGCGGAGGAAAAGAAACUAACAAGGAUUCCCUUAGUAACGGCGAGUGAACAGGGAAAAGCCCAGCACCGAAGCCUGUGGUCAUUUAAUCACUAGGCAAUGUGGUUUUCAGGUCGUUCCGUUGAGGUGCUGCUCCACCCUAAGUCCAGCAAUGAGUACGGUGGUACGGACAUGGCCCACAGAGGGUGAAAGGCCCGUGGGGGUGGAGAUCAGGCAGGCCAGUGCCUCUCUGGGUAGACCUUGGAGUCGGGUUGUUUGUGAAUGCAGCCCAAAGUGGGUGGUAAACUCCAUCCAAGGCUAAAUACUUGCACGAGUCCGAUAGCGAACAAGUACCGUGAGGGAAAGUUGAAAAGUACUUUGAAGAGAGAGUAAACAGUGCGUGAAACCGCUCAGAGGUAAGCGGGUGGAGUUGAACUGCAAGCUUUGAGAAUUCAGCUGGUGAGUAUGGUUUGAGCUUGGUCAAGUUUGGCUGGAUAUUGAGGUCUGCGUAGUAGCAGGUUCUAGUCCCUCGGGGCAGGAUGCGCGAUACACUUAUCAAGUGUUGUGCGCCUCAGUAUUUUGUCGGGCCAAUUCGCCAGUGCACUUUCUCAGAGUGUUCACCACGACCGGCACUGCUGUCUGGCUGUAGUGGUUAAACCGGGCUUACAUCGUCCUUGUGGCUUUGCAUGUUCGGGAAGGCAGGUGGCACGUUGGCUUGCUUGUAGUUUACUGCAGGCAUUUGGUCUUCGUGUGUAAUCAGCUGACCACAACAGUUCUGUGCAGUGUGUCGGGGCUAACGGCUUGUGGUACUUGCGUGCGUGCUUGUUCUGCUGGCGAGUCCGGGUUUGGUUAUCAUGUUGCCUGCAAGUGCAGGCCUGGGAAUGGCUCGGAUUUGUCCAGUGGGCGGUUGCGUACGUGGUGCUGUUAGAUGGCCAAGAGUCUGUGGUGUAGUGGUAGACUAUCCACCCGACCCGUCUUGAAACACGGACCAAGGAGAGUAACAUGUGCGCGAGUCAUUGGGCGUAACGAAACCCACAGGCGCAGUGAAAGUAAAGGUCUGGCUUGUCUAGACUGAGGUGAGAUCCUGUCGUUUUCACGCCUGGUACCACCAAGCAUCGAGCGGCAGGCGCAUCACCGGCCCGUCCCAUGACGUAGACACAUAAUCUUCGGACCAGUGCACCGUCGGGGCGGAGCAUGAGCGUACAUGUUGAGACCCGAAAGAUGGUGAACUAUGCUUGCGCAGGUUGAAGCCAGAGGAAACUCUGGUGGAGGACCGCAGCGAUUCUGACGUGCAAAUCGAUCGUCAAACGUGAGUAUAGGGGCGAAAGACUAAUCGAACCAUCUAGUAGNNNNNNNNNNNNNNNNNNNNNNNNNNNAUAGCUGGCGUUCAGAAAAGUAAACAGUUUUAUCCGGUAAAGCGAAUGAUUAGAGGCCUUGGGGGCGAAACGUCUUCAACCUAUUCUCAAACUUUAAAUGGGUGAGAAGCUCAACUCGCAAGAGCGGAGUUGGGCCUUGAAUGUGAGUGCCAAGUGGGCCAUUUUUGGUAAGCAGAACUGGCGCUGUGGGAUGAACCAAACGUCCGGUUAAGGUGCCUAACGCGACGCUCAUCAGAUACCACAAAAGGUGUUGGUUGGUCUAGACAGCAGGACGGUGGCCAUGGAAGUCGGAAUCCGCUAAGGAGUGUGUAACAACUCACCUGCCGAAUCAACCAGCCCUGAAAAUGGAUGGCGCUGGAGCGUCGGACCUAUACCGGACCGUUACUGCAAGCUGAGUCGGUAAUGUGUGGUGUGAGGGCAAGCCGCACGACUCAGGCACGGAGUGGUGGUAACGAGUAGGAGGGUCGCCGUGGUGAGCGGGAAGCUUCGGACGUGAGUCUGAGUGGAGCCGCCACGGGCGCAGAUCUUGGUGGUAGUAGCAAAUAUUCAAGUGAGAACCUUGAAGGCCGAGGUGGAGAAGGGUUCCAUGGGAACAGCAGUUGGCCAUGGGUCAGGCGGUCCUAAGUGAUCCGAUAACUCGGUACAGAGACGGGGUGCCUGACAUUGUCAGGAAUUGCUGCUCGUAUUGUUGCAAGGCAGCCCCCUGUAGCGAAAGGGAAUCGGGUUAAUAUUCCCGACCCUGCCCACGGAGAUUGGUGUAUUCCGGUCAUGUGCUGGUUUGCAUCUAGCGCGGUAACGCAACCGACCUCGGAGACGUCGGCAAGAGUUCUGGGAAGAGUUCUCUUUUCUUUAUUAGGAGCGCAUCCAUCCCCUGGAAUCGGGUUGUCCGGAGAUAGGGGACUAGCCUCCGUAAAGCACCACCCCUCUUGUGGUGUCCGGAACGCUCUUGUCGGCCCUUGAAAAUCCGAGCAAGGCAAUAUAAUUUUCGUGGCAGGCCGUACCCAUAUCCGCAUCAGGUCUCCAAGGUGAACAGCCUCUGGCAUUUGAACAAUGUAGGUAAGGGAAGUCGGCAAAUUGGAUCCGUAACUUCGGGAAAAGGAUUGGCUCUGAGGGCCGAGUCAAAUGGGCUGGCGUCAGAUACGUGUCGGUCAAGUUGGGGGCUGGUUUUUCUGUUGCUCUAUUCGCUUCGGCGUUUGGGGUUGAUGGGAUUACUGGAGUCUGACCAGGCCGGUCGUGGACGAUGUCAGCUGUAGUGCUGCUUGGUUUCGCACGUACACGGGCAACCUUGUGCGUGUGUUUCCUUGCUUCCUUCGUUUGGCGUUAAACGGCUAACUCAGAACUGGCACGGACCAGGGGAAUCCGACUGUCUAAUUAAAACAAAGCAUUGCGAUGUCCACUGAUCGGUUUUGACGCAAUGUGAUUU
rnacentral:rRNA from 1 species